rnacentral:lncRNA from 1 species
ACGCCCCGCGCCGUGAGUAGGAGGGAUGCUGCCUACCUUGCGCCCCCGGGGACAGAGGGGGCACAGAAAGGACACCAGCUUGUAGUGCCCCAGAGUGGACGCUUCUCCCCUCAGACUCCUGGUCACUGGGAAAUGGCGCGGGGCCAGAUUGUGUCUCCCGAUCAUCCGCCCUCUGUUAGACACUGGGAGCUGCGCUGUCGCUGGCAGGGAACACAAGACAGACACUCCACCCAUCGUGACCCCAGAGUCUGCUUGCUCUCUGCAGAUCCUGGUCAGGGCUCCUGUGGGAAGGGGGCACUGAACAACACUUCACUCCAUCUCUGGCCCUUCUCCCCCUGACCACCUCUCCCAUCUUGGGUCCCACGGGCAGUGGGGCACAGAACGGAUACCACACCCAGCAUCCACUGUUCCUUACAGACCUACAAAGUAGGGGAUGCCAGGAGAACAACCCAUCCGACCUAGAGCCACCCUGCCAGCCUAGGCGGUCCUGGCUGGUCAGGGUCAGGGGCUCCUCGUCCCGCCAAGUACAGGAAAUAGAAAUGCCGACCAACCGUGACCUCAGCUCAAUACCUUUCCAGGCGCUAUUACAGCUUGCCUGUCACCGGGAGGCUCUUGUUUGCUGAACCGGAGUUCCAGCUUUCCAUAGCUCUCUAAAUGCAGGAAGCGAUGCUGGAGAGAGCUUAGCUAGCCUUUCUGCUCAUGGCUGAGCCUGGAAAGGGAGGCGCUGUGAAGACCAAGAAUGUGGGCCUUGGUGAUAUUAAAGGCCUGCAGGUGUCUGCAUAGAAAAGUGCUGGGAUAUUCUGGAAGAGCCCUUCUGGGCAGUUGAAUGUGCUUAGCACGAACCUUUGUUUUGUGCAUGUAGAGGGAAGCAAAUCAUUAAAUUAUUAAAGGAAAGCAACACCC